AUUGAACGCUGGCGGCAGGCCUAACACAUGCAAGUCGAACGAGUGGCGGACGGGUGAGUAAUGUCUGGGAAACUGCCCGAUGGAGGGGGAUAACUACUGGAAACGGUAGCUAAUACCGCAUACCAUCGGAUGUGCCCAGAUGGGAGUAGCUUGUAGGUGAGGUAACGGCUCACCUAGGCGACGAUCCCUAGCGGGUCUGAGAGGAGGACACGCCACACUGGAACUGAGCCACGGUCACGACUCCUACGGGAGGCAGCAGUGGGGAAUAUUGCACAAUGGGCGGUAGCCUGAUGCAGCCAUGCCGCGUGUAUGAAGAAGGCCUUCGGGUGGGAAAGUACGUUCAGCGGGGAGGCGUUACCCGCAGAAGAAGCACCGGCUAACUCCGUGCCAGCAGCCGCGGUAAUAC
rnacentral:rRNA from 1 species